CCUACGCGUGGCAGCAGUGGGGAAUAUUGGUCAAUGGGCGCAAGCCUGACCCAGCAACGCCGCGUGAAGGAAGAAGGCUUUCGGGUUGUAUACUUCUUUUAAGAGGGAAGAGAAGAAGACGGUACCUCUUAAAUAAGCCACGUCUAACUACGUGCCAGCAGCCGCGGUAAUACGUAGGUGGCAAGCGUUGUCCGGAUUUACUGGGUGUAAAGGGCGUGCAGCCGGGCUGAGACGUCAGAUGUGAAAUCCCGCGGCUCAACCGCGGAACUGCAUUUGAAACUGUCAGUUGUGAGUACCGGAGAGGUCAUCGGAAUUCCUUGUGUAGCGGUGAAAUGCGUAGAUAUAAGGAAGAACACCAGUGGCGAAGGCGGAUGACUGGACGGCAACUGACGGUGAGGCGCGAAAGCGUGGGGAGCAAACAGGAUUAGAUACCCCUGUAGUC
rnacentral:rRNA from 1 species